AUACAUCGGAACGUACCCAAUCGGGAGAUGUUGGGGUAAGUCCCCCAAAGAGCGCAACCCUUGUCCUUUUUUCCCAUCAUUUAGUUGGGCACUCUAAGGAGACUGCCGGUGACAAACCGGAGGAAGGUGGGGAUGACGUCAAGUCAUCAUGGCCCUUAUGGCUAGGGCUACACACGUCAUACAAUGGUCGGUACAAAGGGUAGCCAACCCGCGAGGUGGAGCCAAUCCCAAUAAACCCGAUCGUAGUCCGGAUCGGAGUCUGCAACUCGACUCCGUGAAGUCGGAAUCGCUAGUAAUCGCGGAUCAG
rnacentral:rRNA from 1 species